rnacentral:lncRNA from 1 species
AUGUGGUUUGCACCUCUACCUGAGUACAUCUGGUUUGCAGUGCUUGUCUGUCUUGGUUGUUGCUCCAUACACCUUUUGGGGAAGGUGAAGAGUGCCUGCAGCACAGCGAGCUUUCCACGGGGAUGGCAGCUGGGUGCAGCUUUGCCAGUUUUAUUACCUGUACAGAUACUGACGGCACCAAAACACCAUCCCUCUCAACUUUCCUCCCUACAAAAAAACAGGACAACUGUUUCUAUGACCAACCUCCAGUAAGAGUUAUGGAGCUGAAUUUCCAGAAGGGGAAAGCAAGGAAAAAAAAACAACACAACUUUAGCUUUGACCUGGGGAAAAGCCAGAUUCUGUCACUUCCAUUCUGUACAUCGAAGGUCCAAAGUACUCGAGGUCCAAAGCUAUGACAAAUUGUUCCCUCUUUUGCAGAGCAGAUUCUGGUGGGGUUUGAUGUAAUCAAGCAGGGGCUUGCUGUGACUGCAAAGAAAAUAUUGUCUUAAACAGCAUCUUUGAGACAUCGAUACGCUUCCAAAGGAAAGAAGCAGCACAUCUUGUAUAAUCUCAUGCCCCUUGUCUCUGCUGCACAGUUUGGCAUUUAAACACAUUUUUCAACAACCAAAAAUCAAGUUGAGGGGGGAUUCACUGUCGCAUGCGUGGGAGACACAGCUACACACAACGCAGCUGGCUUCAGCUAAUAGCUGGGCUGCAGAGGAAAUCCUUCACAAACCUUCACAAUUGGUUCUUUAAAAUUUAUUUUUCUAUCUGUAGUUCAAAACAUUGGUUUUACAUCCCAAUAGUAACACAGGGCUACGUUGCUCAAAUGAACUUUAAGCAGUGCUGAAUUUCAUCUGUUGUUAUAAAGACAGUGAACUGCAGUUAUUUUGGACAAUUCUGUAUGCCGACAGUCACUUCAGUAAAUUAUUCGAGAAUUAUAUUUUUUUAAACAGAGGCAAGAUGUGUCCCAAAGAGAUUUCACUUGUCUAAUUAAAAUCCAUUUAAAGAUGUUAUCCAAGUGGGCUUCACUGGAAAAGGAGAAGUUAAUAUUGUACUGCAGAGUACCAUAGUUUUUUUCUAAAAGCAAAAGGAGUCCCAUGCAUUUUCAACCUCAAAUCGUUAAAUUUUUCUCUUACCAAAAUUCAAUAAACCAAAUCCUCUGUAACUCA